rnacentral:rRNA from 1 species
CAGUCGCCACGGUAAUACGGAGGGUGCAAGCGUUAAUCGGAAUUACUGGGCGUAAAGCGCACGCAGGCGGUCUGACAAGUCAGAUGUGAAAUCCCCGGGCUUAACCUGGGAACUGCAUUUGAAACUGUCAGGCUGGAGUCUUGUAGAGGGGGGUGGAAUUCCAGGUGUAGCGGUGAAAUGCGUAGAGAUCUGGAGGAAUACCGGUGGCGAAGGUGGCCCCCUGGACAAAGACUGACGCUCAGGUGCGAAAGCGUGGGGAGCAAACAGGAUUAGAUACCCGAGUAGUCCCUGUCUCUUAUUA